GCUGCCAAUGUUUUGGGGGUUCCUGAUCCCUGUGGCGUUCAUGCUUAUCUUCAACAUGGUGGUGUUGGUAUAUUUUGUAGUUACCACAUCCAAGACCAACCCACAUAUAACCAGUACAAGACACACAUCGAUGAAGAAGAAAUUCCUCAGUAGCUUUUCUCUGGCUGUGGUGCUCGGUCUCUCCUGGAUCCUGGGCUAUCUGUUGCUCAUUACACAGAACCAGACCAUGUACACCAUACUCAACAUCUCCUUCUGUGUACUCACCACCACUCAGGGCUUGCAGGUUUUCAUUCUGUUCACAGCAAGAACAGCAAUUGUCAAGAAAACGAUGUCAAGUGCUUUGAAAUCUGUCUCAAGCGCUGGGAUCCCUCUUCACACCAAGAAGUUCAGUCUAUGGCGAGGCGAGCAAAGUGAAAAAGUAGAAUCAUACACACAGCUGGACACUGAUCUGUCAUUUCCACCUUGUUCCUCACAGACAUCUAACUGAUGGGCUGCAAGUUCAACCUCUGUUGGAAAAUAUCUCAUAUACCGCCACUAUUUCCUAUAAUAUACAGAAUAAUACACACCAUUUUGUAUCAAUGUAUUUUUACUGUAAAUUCCCUCAGAAGUUGUGUUGUCCAAGGAUUUUUGGGCUAUGCACAUACUGUAUAUACAUACUGUAUGUGUUUUUUGAAAUAUAACUGUUUUGAAUAAA